rnacentral:misc_RNA from 1 species
GUGGUUGGGGAGAUCUAGGGAAUCGUGAGUAUAUGUCUUCCAUCUUUAUUUUGCACUUUCUAGGCCUAUGGGCGUUUUACAAAUUUGAUCACUUGGACAAAUAUGCAUAUCCUUAAUGUAAGUAGCUGGUUUAGUUUUACUUAUAUCAGUAAAUACAUAUGUGCUUUUGUUGUGGCACAAGGGCAUGCUAUGCUGCUACUUACCUGUAGAGAUAUUCCUUUUCUUCCUCAUUAUUUUACUUGAUUUUAUGAGUAAUUUUUGUUUAGAAAUGUACUUAAAAGAAACACCCACAAGAUUGCUUUAAAGAAGGCAAUGAGAGACUUUGUUAUAGGAUAAGGUUCCU